GCUGCGACACGUGACCAGGCGCGCGCCCCAACGCCGCCUCGCGCAGCCGCGCCUGCUGCUGCUGCUGCUGCUGCUGCUGCUGCUCCCAUCGGCGGCAGAAGAAGAAGGAGAAGAAGCCCCGCCAGGAGCAACAGCAACAGGGUCCAAACGUAGAAAGAGGGGGUGUUAGGAAGCAGCCAUGGCAACUGCAACCGGGGAGGAUGGAGCCCAGAAUUGGUAACACAGAGAUACGGUGUACCCACGCAAAACAGCCCAGAAGGUUUACUAUAAAAUGGCAGAAAACAUGAUCAAGGAAGCAACUUUCCUCAGGCUAAGGGGGUACACUGUGAAAAAAACGAUUUAAGCUGGGAACGCAUUCUGUCUCAGCCCUAGAAGUCAAGGUCACCCAAUGACCCUGCUUGCAAUAUGUAGUGGUGAUACUAUCUUUAAAAUGAUUUUAGACUCAUUCUGUGUGGAUAUACCUAACUUGCAUAUGCCUGCUUGGAAUGUUCUGCUUCAUUGCCUUGAACUAAAGUACUGAAGUACUCCAGGAAA